rnacentral:rRNA from 1 species
GACGAACGCUGGCGGCGUGCUUAACACAUGCAAGUCGAACGGAAAGGCCCUGCUUUUGUGGGGUGCUCGAGUGGCGAACGGGUGAGUAACACGUGAGUAACCUGCCCUUGACUUUGGGAUAACUUCAGGAAACUCGGGCUAAUACCGGAUAGGAGCUCCUGCUGCAUGGUGGGGGAUGGAAAGUUUCGGCGGUUGGGGAUGGACUCGCGGGUUAUCAGCUUGUUGGUGGGGUAGUGGAGUACCAAGGUUUUGACGGCUAGCCGGCCUGAGAGGGUGAACGGGCACAUUGGGACUGAGAUACGCACCAGACUCCUACCGGAGGCAGCAGGCGGGAAUAUUGCACAAUGGGCGGAAGCCUGAUGCAGCAACGCCGCGUGCGGGAUGACGGCUUUCGGGUUGUGAACCGCUUUCGCCUGUGACGAAGCGUGAGUGACGGUAAUGGGUAAAGAAGCACCGGCUAACUACGUG